CUUCACAAGAUUGCUUCGCCCCUGUUCAAGCAAAGAGAGAGAAAAGAAAAAGAAAUUGUGAGUUUUUAAAAUUGAUGGUUGGUUUGUGGCCUUGGAGGUUUUCCUUAUCUCUGCCCCAACUUGAUACAGUUGAUUCAACUAAUUGGUUGGCGAGCUUGAAUCUUUGUCUUUCAAAUUCUGUCGUAUCUCUGUUUGUUUCAGUACGAUUUUGCUCUUUCCUUUUCAAAUGCUUCAUUCGUAACACUUAUCUUAACUGGCUCCCUGUCCUUGUCAAGGUGGUGACCGCCCAACAAUCACUGCUCAAUUUCACUGGGAGCCGUGGUCAAUUUUGCGCGUUUUUCUUUAUUUUGCAUUUGAUGCAAGACUUACACAUAAAAACAGAGCGUGUAAAAAAUGAAAUAAGGAAAAAUCAAAAGAAGGAAUAAAAGAAUUAUGUUUGAAUAGGAAGUAUUUAUACCAGUAAAGUAAGAAAGUUUAUUUGGGGGUGUAUAUUGACUUUAAUAACGCAUGACAUACAAUUUGGAGUAGACAUUUGACCCUUCAAAACUGUCUAAUCCCGAAUUAGGCUGCACCUUUCAAUCAAAUCAAAUCGUCCUUCUUGAUCUUUG
rnacentral:lncRNA from 1 species